CCAUCUCUGUCGUGGCUAACCUUAUUUUAAGAGCUGACGAAGUUAAGGACCAGUGCUCUGAACCUAAUGUACUAACUGAGUGGAACAAUUUCCUAAUUAGGACUUUGGAAGCGACCCGCAACAUGAGUAACACUGAGAGGCCCGUCAUAGCUGUAGAACGAAGCAUUCUCGUUAGACAUCUAAUGCCAGUUAAGGAUCAGGUGAACAAGAGUGACAUUGAGGCGUUGAUGCAGCUACUACAGCCAGCUAAUACGUCAGCUCGUGUGCCGUCCCCAGAAGAGAUCUGAACGCUAUAACUUUGACUGACGUCGGUUAUGUGCAAUAAAUGCCUGGUCACAUGGUGAUCUGGACAUUUCCUGUUUAUUCAAAAGACAUUGUUAAUCAAGGCCUAUUUAUCGAGUCAUUUAUAGAAGAAAUAUUGUAGGCUUUGAUAUUUAAUAUAUUGUUCCUUUUACUGGCAUCGAGUGUAAGCCAAUUUACCGAAGAAACGUCUCUGUAUUAAUUGUUGUAAUUUUAAGAGUUAAACACUUUUAACUUUUAUAUUCAAAUUCAGUUAUAUUUUUUUAAGUAUUCUUAGCCUAUUUUUACAUUUUUAAUGUUUUAAUACAAUUUAUAACCUUUGUUCUGCAUUUUUGUUUUAAUUUUCUAUACAUAGGUUUGAAAGAACCUUAUUUGUUGUUUAUAUAUUUCAGUUUUUUUAAUAUUUCCUGCCAGCUGCAGCUGUAAAAUAGAUGUACAUUUAAUACAUUAACUAUGUACAUUACUGUUAAUAGUUACAAUUGCCUCAUGACGGGCAAUUAUGUAUUUUAUUAAAAGUUUCUAUUCCUUUA